AAUUGAAUUUUCUGUUGUAAAAUUAAAAUGGAAUAUCUCGAGCCGCGUUAGCUCUACAAAGAGCACUAUAAAAUAAAACAGCAUUAGAAAAGCAGAUUGGAGCGAAAAAUAAAUCAGCGGCCUACGCACGCGACCUAGCCCAACGGACACACACAGAGAAAGGGACAAAAAAGUCGGUGAAAGAAAAAAAACGGCGAAGAGAACGCGAAUAAACCCGGGGGGAACGACCUGCGAAAAAUAAGACGAAAACGAUCGCCCGCGCACAUGUGCGUUCGGCCAUUUUUUUCUCCCCGUCCCGUUCUAGCGCCAAAAAUGGGCACCGAUUGUGCGCGUGCGAGCGAGACGGCGGAAAAGAAAGCGCGGAAAGAGUUGGCGGUCGUUCCUGCGAUAGUUCGGU